GGUGUUUGGCACCUCGAUGUCGGCUCAUCACAUCCUGGGGCUGAAGUAGGUCCCAAGGGUAUGGCUGUUCGCCAUUUAAAGUGGUACGCGAGCUGGGUUUAGAACGUCGUGAGACAGUUCGGUCCCUAUCUGCCGUGGGCGUUGGAAGAUUGAGAGGGGUUGCUCCUAGUACGAGAGGACCGGAGUGAACGCACCACUGGUGUUCGGGUUGUCAUGCCAAUGGCAUUGCCCGGUAGCUAAGUGCGGAAGAGAUAACCGCUGAAAGCAUCUAAGCGGGAAACUUGCCUCGAGAUGAGUCUUCCCUGUCGCUUUAAGCGACCUAAAGGAACGUUUAAGACUAAGACGUUGAUAGGCUGGGUGUGUAAGCGUAGCGAUACGUUGAGCUAACCAGUACUAAUGAACCGUGAGGCUUAACCUG
rnacentral:rRNA from 1 species